rnacentral:misc_RNA from 1 species
UUUCCGUAGGUGAACCUGCGGAAGGAUCAUUAACGAUAAUAUGCCCUUCGGGGUAGAUCUCCCACCCUUUGUUUUUAUUACCUUUGUUGCUUUGGCAGUCCCGUCUUCUUACCAUCGGCUUCUGCUGGUCUGUGCUUGCCAGAGGACCCAAAAGUCUUAUUAUUAAUAUUGUCUGAGUACCAUAUUAUAGUUAAAACCUUCAACAACGGAUCUCUUGGUUCUG